UGCUGUCCUAAGCAAAUUAUUACAAUUUGCUCUUAAAUUUCCAAGUCCAAACACUUACGAACUUACCAUUUGAGUUUAAGACAUAUCAUGGCCACAUCAUAUCUUAUUAAAUCAACUCAUUAUGUCCUAUUAUGAUUGAAUUUACUCAACGUUUAAUCACUUAAAACUUACCUCGGAAGAUGCCGAACGAUUACGACGGCUAUUCGAUCACUUUUUCCUUUCCCUUAUCCAACUUUGAUCCUCUAGGCUCUUGAGCUAAAUCAAACAAUUUACUUCCCAAAUUAAACAUAGUCAUACGACAUCCAUAUACAUUUUAUACUAGCCGAAAUGUACCAUCAAGAUAUACUUUACUCAAAUAAUUUACCUUGGCCGAUCAUGUAUAAUGUUUUGUAGCUUAAUAAAUUUAACAUACAUUAUGUAUUUAUAAUAUUUGUACAGCCAAUUAUCCAUGGUCAUACACACACAAUCAAAAAUAAAUACCAAAUUUUCAUAUCCUUUAUGCCCUAAGCCGAAUACACUUGUCAUGUUCACCUACAUUUUUCAAGUACAACAUUCUCAUAUUCGGCAUUAGUAUCAAGCAUAAUAGCCAAUUCUUCCCACCUUGAAUCUAUGCAUCUAUUUAAUCAUAGUUUGUUCAAGCACUCAUACAACAAGAUACAUCCAAUUUAACAAGAAACAAAAACCUUAUUUAAUACAAUUAACACCGAAUUCCUCAUGUAAAAAGUACCAUUGCCGAAUAUCAUUUAGUUCACCUUAAUCCAUCUCAUGAUCGAAUGCCUUUAAGCUUAAUAUCAUGGUAUCGUAACUCAACAUUUAUCAAUAUGUCAUUAACAAAAUAUGCUCAUAUCAAAUUUACUCCCAAUUACAUCUCAAAAUUCAACAAGCUUAUAACUCAUUAAUAAUUAAAUUCCAUUUCAAAGUAUCAAAACAUUAUCAAAUGUAUACUCAUCCUAAAUGACCGAAUGCACAUUAACUAAGCACAUAACAAUUUUCAUUAGCCAUCGAACUCAUUCGGCAAUGAUAAGGACAAAUUUAACAAACCUUAAAUUUAACUUAUAAUUGUACAUAUCUCAUUCAAAA
rnacentral:lncRNA from 1 species